GGGGGUUUUGAUACAAGAGCGUGUUAUUUUAACAGGGGUGAAAUCUGUAUUUAUCAUGAAUCUUUUGGUUAAAGCACCUUUUAGGUGGUCAAAUGACUAGGAUUAGAUACCCUAUUAGUCCACUCUUAACUAACCUGGGUAGUAGCAUUGAAACCUAAAGAAUUUGGCGGUUUCUAAACCUACUAGAGGAACCUGCUCCAUAAACGACAAUCCACGAAAAAAUUUACCCGGGCUAGUCACGCAGCUUAUAUACCGUCGUUCAGGGGACUAAAUAAAUAAAUCCCCUUAAAAGCUUAGGCUAGCAAAUCAGAUCAAGGUGUAGCUCAUGCCCGGGAGAGGGUGGGUUACAAUGAAAACUCAUACGGAAUUUCUAUUUUAUGAUAGUAAAGAAGGUGGAUUUAGAAGUAAGACCUAAUACACUGAAAAAGGCUCUUAGAAAUGUACACAUCGCCCGUCGCUCUCUUGUCCGAAGAGAUAAGUCGUAACAAAGUAGGUGAACCGGAAGGUUCAUCUUGAAAGA
rnacentral:rRNA from 1 species